rnacentral:rRNA from 1 species
AUGAUUAGCUCCAAUAUUCUUAUUUGGAAUGUGAGGGGACUGAACAACCCAGCUCGCCGUGGGGUUGUCAGAAGAGUUGUUUUACUGCAUAAUCCUGCGAUUAUCUGCUUGCAAGAAUCAAAGCUAUCUGUUGUAGACCGGCCAACCAUCAGUCAAAUUUGUGGCCCUAGAUGCACUGAAUUCCUUUUUCAGCCUGCCAUUGGAACAAGGGGUGGAAUCAUUAUUGCUUGGGAUCCUGAGGUUGUGGAUGUUGCACUUAUUGAUUGCCAAAAGUCGUUUGUUGCUGUGGACUGCUGCUGGAGACUGACGGAUUCGAGAUUCAGACUUGUCACGGUGUAUGGACUUCAGUCUGAUGCAGAUAAACUGAUAUUCUUGGAUGACUUGAGACUGCUGUACUCCUCAAAUUUGCCUUGCAUUUUCACUGGGGACUUCAACCUUAUUGCCGAGGCCACUGACAAGAACAACAACAACUUGAACAGAAGAACAAUGGCUGCAUUCAGAAGAUUUAUCAACGAACUUGAGCUGCGAGAGAUGUACUUGCAUGGAAGAAAAUACACUUGGACCAACGAGCAGCAGAACGCAACAAAGGUCAAAUUGGACAGGGUUCUCUUCAAUGACCCGUGGAUGUUGGCAUAUCCUUGCUGCAUCCUUGCCGCUCUUGCUACGGAUCUUUCCGAUCACUGCCCCUUGCUACUUUCAACUGAUGCAACCUUUCAGCCACCGAGACACUUCCGAUUUGAUAAUUACUGGACUACUUUUGGGGGCUUCUCCCAGGUGGUCCUCGAUUGCUGGUCGCAGCCCAGAACAUGUUCUGACCCUUACCUCAGGUUGCACUGCAAACUUACUAGAACAGCCAGGUCCCUAAGGAAAUGGAGCUCUACCCACAUUGGUGAUCUCAGGCUUCGCGCUGCAAUCUCUAGUGAGCUGAUCGGUAUGUUUGAUGCUGCUCUAGAUGAGAGAGACCUAACCGAUGGGGAGAGACAGCUAAGGUCUGCCCUCAAGAUGAAUCUGCUGGGGUUUGCAGCUAUGCAGCGUGCUCACAGCCGACAGCGGUCGAGGAUUGACUGGUUAAAAGAUGGUGACGCUAACACAACAUUCUUCCAAGCCAAGGCAUCGGCUAGACGCCAAAAAAAAUUUGUGCUAAGUUUAACGCACAAUGAUAGGGUGCUCACUGCUCAAGAGGAUAAGUUGAAUGCAGUUUGGGAGCACUUCUCCUCUGUUUUGGGGUCUAAAACUCAGAGAGGCUGCAGUAUUAAUUUCAACGCCCUUGGGAUUGCCCCCGUCGAUCUGUCAAGUAUUGAGAGUGCUUUUACAGAAGAAGAGGUGAAGGCUGCGGUUAUGGACAUGAACCCCAGGAAAGCCCCCGGGCCCGAUGGCUACACUGCACUGUUUUUCCAGAGUUGUUGGGACAUUAUAAAGGUGGAUGUGAUGUGUGCGAUUCGAGCUUUUGAGGGGCUGAAUUCCUCAAACCUAGCAAGUCUUAAUACUGCUACUCUGAUUCUCAUUAGAAAAAGGCCAGAUGCACAAGAAGCAAGAGAUUAUAGACCAGUCAGUUUGCUUUCGUUCUUUGCUAAACUCAUAAUGAAAAUUUUAGCAAGAAGACUGCAACCUUGGCUCAAAAAGCUUGUCCUACCAAAGCAGAGUGCAUUCAUAAAAGGAAGAGCCAUCCAUGACAACUUCCUGUUUGUUAAAGGAAUGGUCAGAUCCCUUUAUUUGAAGAAGAUUCCCUCAAUCAUGAUCAAGCUCGACAUAGACAAGGCAUUUGAUAGCGUCUCUUGGGAGUUCUUGAUCGACGUUCUCGCGGCAAAGGGAUUCAGCCUCAAGUGGAGAAAUUGGAUUUCUUCCAUGCUUGCUUCGGCCUCAACCAGAGUCCUUGUUAAUGGGGAAUUGACUGACUACAUCGUGCACCAUAAGGGCCUGAGGCAGGGAGACCCUCUAUCGCCUCUAUUGUUUGUGCUCGUGAUGGACGUCCUUGAUGCUAUGAUUCGUGCAGCAGUUCAUGCCCAGGUGCUCCCACCCCUCGGGCGAAGCCUUCCUUCAGUCAGAGCCUCAUUUUAUGCAGAUGAUGUGAUGAUCUUUGUCAGACCAAACUAUCAAGAAGUCAAUGCUGUAAAGAAGAUCCUCGAUAUUUUUGAGGAUGCUUCUGGCUUAAGGACUAACUACACCAAAAGUAGCUUUUGCCGCAUCAGAUGCGAGGAUGUUGACACUCUUGAGCUGGCCGCACUGCUUCAAUGCCCCAUCAAAGAUUUCCCAGACAUCUACCUUGGCAUGCCCCUCAGUUACACGAGAUUGCAGAAAGUACAUUAUCAGCCUAUUUUUGACAAGCUCCAGCGCAACACCUCCGGAUGGAACAAGCUUAUGCUUCCCACCGCCGGACGGCUUGCUCUGAUCACCUCCGUCUUAUAUGCUUUGCCAGUCUUCCAGAUUUUGGCCAUUGAACCUCCUCGUUGGGCUGUCAAAAAGUUUGACAAAAGAUGCAGAGGGUUCCUUUGGGCAAAUAAAGAUGAGGCAACUAGGGGUAAAUGUCUGGUUAAUUGGAAGUAA